GCUAAAUUCAUUCAGAGUCUAACUCCAUUUAAGGCAGUGGAGUUACACCCAAGAUAAGUUUGAUCUAUGCUCUUUAAUGUUGCAGAUACUAAAGAAUUUAAGUCCCAAUUCAGUUGCCACAUCAGUUUUAUACUAGAACGACUCCACUGGCUUCAGUAGAAUUGCUCCUGAUUUACACCAGCUUGAGAGGAGAAACAGGCCCUAAGCCUUUUUACAGGGCUUUGAGCAAGAUGAACCAAGUUUUCUGAUCUCCUCCUUUUUUCUGAGUAGGAGACAGGAACUGGCACUAGAGGAAAGAUAACUGAGAGAUAUUUUGAGAUGACCAGCUUGGGGAAGAAAUGGGUUCCCAGGAGACAACAGUCAUUCUCAUGGAUCUUCUCAAAACAAUUUAUCAACAUCCUUUUUGAACUGUGGACCCCAGAACUGGACACAGGAUUCCAGCAACAGUAGCACCAGUGUCAAACACUGAGAUCAUUGAUAAAAUUGUUAAAUAGUGUACGCCAAGAACUGACUACUGGAGGAUGCCACUGGAAACACACCCGCUCAAUGAUGAGUCCCCAUUUAUAAUUAUAUUUUGAGACCCUUUGCUGAGCAUGCUGCUGCAACAUGCUGAAGGUAUUCCACAAUAUAGGCAUAACCCUAAUGCCUGAUGACAGCUCUUUUUGUCAACAGAGAGAUGGGAUUAGAUCAGUUAAGUCGUAUCAGUUCCGAGUCUAGUAGGCCAACAGGGGCCAUAGAAGAUAGGGGGGAAGCUCUGGCCAACAGAAGAUUGGGUAGUGUGAUUCUUUCUUAGGCCCACUCAGUCCUAAUGCAAAGCUCAAUUAAAUCCCUAAAUUUCAGAGAUUCCACCCAUGCUAGUUUGUCUUUGAUAAUCAUUGGCUCCCUGCCUAACGUGGUGUCGCUGCACAGCCUCAAUCCAGUGGAUGUCUGUGGCCAGACAGAAAUUCAGCUGCAUAUUUAGUGAUAGUCUGGAGAUCCUGGUGGAGGAUCAUUCUUAUUUAAGGCAAUCAAAGAUGCCCACCAUUUUUUCUACAUAGUUCUUGAAGUUUUCAAAGAGAAGAUUGGAGCCCUCCAGGAGUGUGGACACUCAUUUUGGGGCCUCUUUUGUGAGCAGAUUAGUUAUUAAUCCUACCUUGGACCAAUUCAUGGGGUACAACUGUGACUACCACAUGACGAUAGGAGACAGUAUUGCUUAAGGAACCCACAAAUCUUAGCACAGUCCCAAUUAAACUAAUGGGUAGGAGCAUCUCAGACUGCUGGGAUGUGGAUGAGAGAGUUGGAGAAGGAGGAGACAGGAGCCACUGCCAGGGCUUGUAUCUAAACCUGAGGGAUGGGAUUCUGGUCACAUAACACAGUGACCUGAGUCCAUAGUUCCUGUGGGACCCCAAGUACAUCUGAGAGGGUGAGUUUCUGUUGGGGCCCUUCUAGAGGGGACUUCCAUGCUUUGGGGAUAAUGUUCCUUCUUAUGUUAGGGAUGUUCAAAGUCUCACACACCAAGGUGGUGUGACUGAAUGGUCAGAAUGGAGUCAUGCCUAGUGGUGGGAGUAGAGCCAGAAAGCAGAACCAGAGAAAUAGGGAAACAAGCCAACACUUAGCACAGAAGUCAGAACAGAACUAGAAAGUGGAACUGAAGUCCUGGACAGGAGGUACACCUUUGGUCAGGCAUCAGAACAGAAUUGGAGUUGUGGUCCAGAGACAAGACAGAGACCAGAGUAUGUAUGGAGGAAGAUAGAGACUAGGGCUGGAGUGGGAACAGGAGUGGCUUGGAGCAAGGACUGGAACAGAAAGCAGGUCUGCAGCUCUGGGAGUAGGACACAUGGAGCGGUCACUGCUCUGUUGUUACAUGGCUUAAAUGAUAAUCUGCUGGCUCUUCUGUCUCACCAUGGUGCACAGUCACUUAGUUAGAGCUUAUUGGUCCCAGACAAGCUAUUUAGGUUGCCAGAGACAACCCAACCUGGAGAAAGCUGAGUUCUGACAGAAGGCAGAUGCUGACUCAUUCAUGGCAUUAAUCUGUUUAAUUAAUCCUUGGUCUAUACCAUUCCCCCUGUUAUUCCAGCCUCAAGUCUCUUUUGAGCAGACAUUGCCAAUCUUUCUAAACUGAGGUAAUUUUAUAUGCACACUCAUGUUUACUAGAACAAGAUGGAGACAAUCAGGGUAUGUCUACACUGCAAAGAAAACCCAAAACACCAAGUCUCAGAGUCCAGGUCAAUAGACUGGGGCUCUUGGGGCUCAUGCUGCAAGGGUAGCAACAGCAGUGUACGUAUUCUCAUUUGGGUUGGAGCCCAGGCUAUGAGACCUUUCCCUAUUGCCAGGUUUCAUAGCCUUGGCUCCAGCCCAAGCAAAAUAUCUACUCUGCUAUUUUUAGCUCCAUGGUCCAAGUCCAACUCAGUUGACCUGGGCUCUGAGACUCAGCACUUAGGGGGUUUUCUUUGUGCUGUAGCCAUACCCUUGGACACAUUUCUUCACUUCUGACUUCAUUUACAUUUUAGCCAAGCCCCACAGUGGUAAAAUACUACUGCACCACCUCAUCUGCAAUAACUAUCAACUUACUUUCCUGCCUUUAUUAGGCUGAGCAUUCUGCGUGCUGGGUUAUUUUUAUUUACUACUUGUUUCAUGUUCCUUUUAUCAUAAAUGUGCUACACUUUGAACACUAUUUUGAUUACAAUUAGUGAAUUGAAUUUCUGGGAAUAGAUUUCUGGGGAUAGAUUAAAUGUCAUAUUCACAUCUCCUCAUUCAAAUGCUAUGAAUGAGACACAUCCACCCCGACUUAAUUAGCCACAUUAACGCUGGUCCUACAAUUGAGAGGUAACUUCUUUUGCUGUUAUAUAUACCCCAAAUUCUGUAAUUUCCACUCCAACUCAUCUGAUGAAGUGGAUUUUACCCACAAAAGCUCAUGACCUAAUAAAUCUGUU